UAACCUGCCUUAUACUGGGGGAUAGCAGCUGGAAACGGCUGGUAAUACCGCAUAAGCGCACAAUGCUGCAUGACAUGGUGUGAAAAACUCCGGUGGUAUAAGAUGGACCCGCGUCUGAUUAGCUAGUUGGUGAGAUAACAGCCCACCAAGGCGACGAUCAGUAGCCGACCUGAGAGGGUGACCGGCCACAUUGGGACUGAGACACGGCCCAG
rnacentral:rRNA from 1 species